GAUGAACGCUAGCGGCAGGCUUAAUACAUGCAAGUCGAGGGGCAGCGCGGGGUAGCAAUACUCUGGCGGCGACCGGCAAACGGGUGCGGAACACGUACAGAACCUUCCUUCGAGCGGAGAAUAGCCCAGAGAAAUUUGGAUUAAUACCCCAUAGUAUAGCGGAGUGGCAUCACUCUGUUAUUAAAGAUUUAUCACUUGAAGAUGGCUGUGCGGCUGAUUAGGUAGUUGGCGGGGUAACGGCCCACCAAGCCUGCGAUCAGUAACUGGUGUGAGAGCACGACCAGUCACACGGGCACUGAGACACGGGCCCGACUUCUACGGGAGGCAGCAGUAAGGAAUAUUGGUCAAUGGACGAAAGUCUGAACCAGCCAUGCCGCGUGAAGGAUGAAGGUCCUCUGGAUUGUAAACUUCUUUUAUAUGGGACGAAAAAAGGCUUUUCUAAGUCGUCUGACGGUACCAUUUGAAUAAGCACCGGCUAACUCCGUGCCAGCAGCCGCCGUAAAAC
rnacentral:rRNA from 1 species